rnacentral:rRNA from 1 species
UACGUAGGGUGCGAGCGUUGUCCGGAAUUACUGGGCGUAAAGAGCUCGUAGGUGGUUUGUCGCGUUGUCCGUGAAAACUCACAGCUCAACUGUGGGCGUGCGGGCGAUACGGGCAGACUGGAGUUCGGCAGGGGAGACUGGAAUUCCUGGUGUAGCGGUGAAAUGCGCAGAUAUCAGGAGGAACACCGGUGGCGAAGGCGGGUCUCUGGGCCGAUACUGACGCUGAGGAGCGAAAGCGUGGGGAGCAAACAGG